CACACACACACAGAAUACAUCUCCUUUUCCCCCCAGAUCUUUUCCAAGUUGCACAACCAUGGAGGAUGGUGCAGUAACAAUCCAAUUGUGAGUAGAAUAGGAGGGAGGAAGCGACAUGAUUUAUUUUUUCUUUACAAAGCCACCAUUCAUUCUCUCUAUGGUGGGGGGCAGGGGGGAAGCAAACGCAGUUUUCCUAGUCCCAGUCCCUCCCUGAAACGCAGUGUCAGAUCGUUAAUGAUUAAUAUUUUGGAGAGGUCAAGGCGACAGCGGGUGAGUGUAUAUAAUCUUCUGGGGGGGGGGUUCCUCUAGAAACGAAGGUGGGGGUAUGGAUGCGUGAUAAGAGUUUUCCCUGCCUAAAACAAUCCCAAGCUGAUGUGCUUUAGAACCGAAGAAGCCACUUAACAGUCGUUCGUCCUCAAGCCCCUCCCAAACCCCUCUUUAAGCGCCGUCACCCCUCCCCCCAAAAAAUCUGAGCAGAAAACAGGAUUAAAGCGGCUGAGCUAGAGUACAGAAUCCCACUUGAUUCUGACAUUUCAUCCUAUUUGCAUUUCUCUGCGGGGCCUUCUGAAACCUAUUAAACUGUAAUAUUAAAAACUCUUGGCGUAGGUCCUUCUCCAACCGCUCCACACCCCCAUCCCUUUUCCUCUCAACCCCCUGCUCUCUGGCCCUUCAUUCUCUGCUCCCAACUGGAAGGAAGGCGGGGUGGACUACGGGCGGGGGGGCAAUGUGUUUAGCUAAAGAAAAGCAGCAGCAAACCCCUAACUGCUUUGCUGGCCGCUUUUAUAGGAGGGAGAGGAAGGAGGGGUAAAAGUCCCCCCCCCCCCAAUUCCCCAGACUUUGUACUUUCCAUACUGCCCUUUCAGCAAAAUCCCUCUCGUGUUCGCCUGCCUGCAGAGAAGAGAGUACGUACCUGGUUAGAAGGGGAAAUAAAGGGGCUAGUGAAUCGGUAAUAAGGGAAGCUAUGCUGCUUGCAUACCCCGCUGGCCUCAGAGUCAGUCCCCGAGCCGGAGCAGCCACCUGAGUCACCACGGAACCUCUCUGGCUCCUCUGUGACUUCCAAGGCGGAGGUUAAACAAGAGCUGCUCGGAUAUAUCUGGGUCUUUCUCUUGUAAAGAAAAGAAAUUGGGGGAGGGUGCCUAAGAAUGACGAUAACUGUGAACACAAUGAAAAAUCUACUGCUUGUCUAUUUCCUUAUUUUAGCUAAAUAAAAUUAACAAGACAUUGAAGGAAAGAAGUAAGUCCAGUUCUCUGAUUACGAAAGGAAGCUGAGUCGUUUUUUUAAUUAAGGCCUCAGAACCCCAGAGUAUUCCCCAAAUCACUGCAAGUUUAAGGAUUUUAUCCUUUUUUAUUUUUCAUAUCCACUUCUUUUAAACUUUCAGAAGAGAGCAUUCUGCUACUUCGACUCCAUUCUAUUUUUUUCUCGACUUUUAGAAAAGAAAAAUGGGGGGAGGCGGCGCGAGCGGGGGAGGGGGGUAUAAUUUAAUUCCAGUAUAAAUUAAAAAAAAAAAAAAGUUCAGUCUCUGGAGGGCAGUUUCAAGUUGCCCUUCGCCAAAGCCUAUCUAGCUGGUUUCUAGGCUGCCCUCUUUUGGAAGCAGAAGAUCUAGAAGGGGAGGGGAGGGAGAGGGAGGCGGGAGGCGGGAGUGGGGGGAAGGGAGAGAAGAGGAAAGAAAGAAACUAAAAUAGUAAUGAGCCAAGGAGGAAAGCAAUGUCUGUAUGUUAAAAGCAAGGAAGCGCUCAUCUAAAUAUCACCCAGGCACCUUCGGACUCGGCGGAGGAAAGGACACUGACUUGGGGGAAGAAAGGAAUUCGCUGUGUGGCAGUUUGAAAAGGGAUCAAGUACUCUCCUCCACACUGACCCACCUCCUGCCCAAUGGAAGACUGACAAUCCUCAUUUCAUAUAAUUAUAAUAUAACACCUGAGGUACCCCCAUCCCAUGCUGAUAGGAUGAGCUACCCCGGUUUGAAGAUACUCUGUGAGUCUACAUUUUCUCAAAAGCCAUAGAUUACACCCCCCACUGAUGUGUUUAUAUUUACUAGUGAGUCUCUAAACAUAAAUAAUUCAGAGCAAAGGCUUCAAACUAAUUUUUAACGAAAUAAGAAGCAAGAAAAGUAACAAUAGAAAAUUCUACCUGUACACCUGGGAAACCCUCUCCCACAAACAUAUAUUCCAUCAGUGGGAAGAGAGGGCACAUAUAAGGAGUAUGGAUAGAGAAGCAUAAAUAUAGAAAGGGCAUGUGGCCAAAGCACAUGGCACGGAGGAACAUGCACAGAAUGAACAUGUGGGACAAAUACGCGCCCAUGAAAGGACAAUACCACUUCUGACAUGUGGAAGGUUGCCAGCCUCUUCCAGGGAUGUUAAUGCUGUUCCUGCUGGUCUCUGCCAGACACAGAGUCUGUGUUAAGCAUGGGAGCGUGGUAAAUGGUCUCCGUGACUCAUAUUCUCUAUUGAUUUAGGGGUCCCUCUCACAUACAAGGCAAGCUUUGGAGCUUCUUUCUGACUUCAGUUCCUGGGUUUAGCUGGAAUUCACAGCUCAGCUCCCACUGCUUCUCCCCAAGAAGAAAGAUGCCUUUUGCUACAACUCUUAGAAAACCAGAGUCUAAGGAAAAACUCUUAGUGGUUUUCCCUCAUUUAAGUAGGUUCUAUGUAAUUUUAGCCUUGAAGAUUCCUCUCCAAGAGGAGAGUCCUUGCCAUAGGAACCAGAUAACUAGUAUCCAUAAGCAGGCUUAAAUCUAUUUUUAAUCUUGGCUUCCUGCUUACCACGGGCAGGGUUCUCUGUCAGAAAGCUUGAUUUGAUUUAGGAUUAGAAAUUCCUUUUAACUCCUUGGUAAAGGAAAAGCUAGGUAAGAUAGUGGUUAGAAGGCUAAGCCUGAAUUCAAAUCUACCCUCAGACAUUUAUUAGCUGUGGGACUCUGUUUGCCUCAGUUUACUCAUCUGUAAAAUAAGGUAGAACAGGAAAUAGCAAAUCACUCCAUUAUUUUUGCCAAAGAAAACCCAAAAUAGGGUCACAAAGACUCAGACAUGAAGGAAAACAACUAAACAAAACUUCUGUACCUUUAAAAUAAAAAAUUUUGGAGGGUGAUUCCUGCCAGAGAAACCCUACAGAACUAUAUGGGUCUGACCCACUGUUGGAUAUUUUUUAGAAGCACAUCCCCCACAGAGCUUUGCUGUCUGUCAUGAAAAUAAGGCACAAAGGUCAAGCCCAGGGAGUUUGGUAUUAUCCUUCAGCCUAGCCUCAAUUCUCUUUAAUAUAAGUAUGAAAUCAUCAAUAGUUUUCAUCUUUUUCUUCUUUUUUUAAUAGCUUCCAAAUUCUUUUUUUGAUUUAUUUUAAAUAAUAACUUUUUAUUUUCAAAAUAUAUGCAAAGAUAAUUUUCAGCAUUUAUCCUUGCAAAACCUUGUGUUGAAGGCUUUUUUCCUUCCCUGUCCCUCUCCCCUAGGUAGCAAGUAUUCCAAUAUAUAUUAAACAUGUGCAAUUUUUCUAUAUAUAUUUCAUCUUCUUUUUUUUUAAUGAUACUCUUCUCCUUUAUGACUCUCUCUCUUCUUAGAAUCCCUAGUUAUCUUUAAACUUAGCUCAAUCCUGAUUCCCCUAAUUGUGUUUUCUAUUACUACCUCUGAAUUUACUGUAUAUUUAUUUAUUUAUAUGUAUUUAUUUGUAUUUAUCCUCCCAGGAGAAUGUAAGUUCCUUGAGGACAGGGAUUGUAUUUUUGUCUCUAUAUCCCAGUUUUCCAGAUCAGUGCCUUGCCCACAGUAAUUACUUAAUAAAUAUUUUUGAAUGAAUAAAAUUUGUUGUCAUUUAAUCCUCACUGUCACCCCAUGAGGGAAGCAUAGUCUCCAGUUAACAGAUGGGAAGGCUGAGACUCAGAGAGGUAAGUUGUCUUGUUAAGGUCACACAUUUCAGGUCUUAUUUCAGCUGUGUAUCCCAUGCAUCCAGCAGAGUGCCUUCCACAUAACAGAUGCUCAGUAAAUGUUUUUGAAUUGAAUUGAACCCAGGUUUGCAAUAGCCUGUGAGAAGGUCACUUUCUCAUGGUCCCUCUGUACUCUCUGUCCUUUCACCAAAUGGAAUUCUCCCAAAUUGGCAAUCUGUAUUGGAGCUUCCACUGCCCAGUUCAUUCCAUGGACAAAGAUAAAUCUUCUUGGCUUUCUCUUUCCUCUCUGGUGCAAAGACUUCAGGUUUCCUUUCUCCCCUUAAGCUUAAAAAAUUAUUCACACUUUUUUGUUUAGUGCAUUGCCUAAAUUUCCCUUUGUAUCCAUCUUCUCUCUUCCCUCCCAGAGAGCCACCCCUUCUAAAGGAGAAUCAUUUUCUCCAUCAUAGUGUGUAGUGGUAAGUGAUGUAUUUGGGGUACAGUACCAAAUGAUGAGAUUGAUGUAGGCCCCAAAUGUUGGGGUCCUGUGACGUGAAGAAUUCACAAUGGCCAUCCCUUUUGGUGAAAGUAGGUUUAUUUAGGAAAAGACAUUACAGACAAAGUGACCAGGAAUGGUAAAUAUGAAAUAGGUUUGGGAGAGCAGAGUUAGAUGGCAAAGUGGUUUGAACAAUAAUUAACAAUGGAAAAGACAAAUUCCCCAGUGGAACUCCCCGUUAACUAGGAAAAAGGAAAUACCCCAUGAGGUGGAAGCAUACUACUGACUGGCAGGCUAAAUCCUAAAAGGCAUUUAGCACCCUAAAAGAGUUAGUUAUAAGAAGGAGAAAUGAGCUAUGGU